rnacentral:rRNA from 1 species
UACGGGGGAGCAAGCGUUGUUCGGAUUUACUGGCGUAAAGGGCGCGUAGGCGGCCAGCACAAGUCAGUUGUGAAAUCUCCGAGCUUAACCCGGAAAGGUCAACUGAUACUGUGCGGCUAGAGUGCAGAAGGGGCAACUGGAAUUCUUGGUGUAGCGGUGAAAUGCGUAGAUAUCAAGAGGAACACCUGCGGCGAAGGCGGGUUGCUGGGCUGACACUGACGCUGAAGCGCGAAAGCCAGGGAGCGAACGGG